rnacentral:lncRNA from 1 species
GAAAACAUCAUUUAAUUAUCAUAACUCAUGAGAAGCUCCAAUAUAACAUCAAAAUGUAUCAUAAAUAAAGAGAUAAUGAAAGAACAUGACUAGCAAAGAAAAUCACAGAUAAUAUGUUGUUUUCUAAAUAACAUCAUUUCCUAAAAUACUGCAAAAAAAGCUGACUGAAAAUGGAAUGGAAAAAUUAUGUCCUGUAAAUCUGUAAAUAAAUAUUUGGAAUGAUCAAAGCCAUUCACUACAGCUUUGAUAAAACUAUGCAAAAAUUAAAAAAAAUUAUAAAAUCAUCAGUAGAAAUUCAAAAUAAAGAAAAACAUGAAUGAACUAUGUCAAAAAUGCUUUUGCUUUAGCUCUGUGUUUAAAAAAAAAAGAUUGUUGCAGCACCUUGCAUCAUUAUUGUAAUUGGAAUGGUCAGAUCUUUUUUAACAGUAAAGGCCAAUAAAUUAAAAAAAGGAGCAUGCAAUGAAAAGGAGCACAUCCUUGCUACAUAACAAAACAUACAACACAGCUUUCCAUGUUUUGGAAGGAAAAACUUCAAAAGUUCUCUCCAUUUACAAAUAUUUAUGACUAAGCAACUGUAAACAAGAAAACAACAAAAUAAUUUCCUUAAGGUGGUACCUAACACUUUAACUAAAAUUAAUUUGGCUCGUUUAAUUUUCUUAAAAUUUUGACAAAGUAUUUACUUUGACCCUUUGACAAAAAUAUAAAAAUUUCAAAAGAUUUGAACUAACCGUUUAAUCAGAAAAAUUACACUGGUUAUAUAGCAGUUUGACAAACAUUUAUUUUGAUCAUUGAGAAGUUUAAUACUUCUUUAAGAACAUAACGUCAUUAAAACAUUCUGUUGAUUUUUCAGAGUUAUCUCCCUGUAGUGUUAGGUACCACCUUAAUUGUGUCAUUAAGAGUCAAAACCAAUCAUUUUUGCUCAUAAACAUAACAUACUAUACACUUGUAUGCAAAGUACAUACAUGGUGCACAGCACAUACAUGGCACUAGAACUUCUACUUAUGAACUUAGAAAUGUUUAGGAGCCGAAUUUAAAAACAAUUUGAAGCAUUUAAACCAAAUGGACACAAACAGAACAGCCAACAACAGUAAAAUAAAGUUAAUAUGCCUAGAAAAGUGGUGUAAAAAGGAUAUGUUUUGGCAUAAUCUCUUUAAAAAACAAAGUAUUCAGUUUUAACAAAUUGCCUUUAGAUAUUGAAUUAAAAAAAAAAAGAAAAAAAACUAAGAAAAUCUGGAUUUCAAAAUUUGUAAUAUUAAGUCCUCACACUCUUAAAAAAAAAUGCAAAUGCAAUACUUUUUGUACCACAAAAAAAGUUUGAAACACAGAAGGAUGAUGCAUUAUUCUAAAAACAUUAAUUCAUUGCUUUGUGAUAGUCAUAAAAAGUGAAAUUUUUUUGGUUGUAUAAAAACAAACAACUUACAUAAUAUGAAAAUUAACCUACAAAGCAUCAGAUUUUUUUUUUAACUGCCCCAGUAUUUCAACUUUAGUUUUCCUUCUGUAGAUUUAUUGAAAGGGUAGAUGAUCUUAACUUUUAAGCACAAACACACAACAUACAUAAAUUGCACUAUUUCCUGUUUAAAAUGCAUAUUCAUCUUUGUUUACUCAAUUGCUACUACAUAAUGCAAUUGUUAAACUACAUGUGUGUGUCAAUUAAAUAAUAUAUUUAUUUUUCUUUGCAAUAUCACAUCCUAGAGUAAUAUCUGCACUACUUUGAUUCACACUGUUUUAGGAAAGACAAUUUUUAAAAGAAAAUAUAUGUAUUAAAUUAAUGCAAGACAAGACAAGUCAAGCCGACUUUAAAACAAAAUUUAAACAAAAUUCAAAGUAAAAAACAACUAUAAGGCAUGCAAUCAAUAAUAACAUUUCUAUUGCAGUUUAUGGUUAAAAAAAACAACUCAUAAACAAGAAUAUAAGGCUGAUGACACUAUUGUGAGCACGAGGAAAAAACUGUCAAUGUGUUUGAGGAAAGAAUAAUUUUUGUUUGUACAUUAUAAGGGAAAAUACACAAAAACAUGCUUUUAAUACAUACUAAAAGUUUGAAUCAGCAAAACAAGAGGCACACUUGUGCCUUUAUUGCUCACUUUGUUAGAAAAAUCACCAGUUUGCUAAUUAAGAAUUUUAUAUGCACAUGCUGUAGUUACUUUGUUGUUGAUCAGUUUACCAAUACAAAUGUUUAACCAAGCUCCUCUAGUUUUUUUCAGAUAGCAGCAAAAACUACAAAAAAAAAAUAUUUCAGGGGCCAUUACUCCUUAAAUGGUUCUGAAACUUACAGCAAUUAUUUUAGAAGUUUACUCUUUUAACCUAGUUCCUAUUGUUUUCAUGAAUACAGCAAAAAAAAAAAAUAAAAAAAUUUGGAUAUUUCAGGGGCAACAAUUUGUUGACAUUUUUCUAUUUUCGGGGUUGUGGAUACAACUUCUUAAGGUGAUCAAUUAACACUUAAUAACCUAUCAUCUUUAGUUUUUGAAAAACAAGGGCAAGGAAAUGUCAAAACAGUGGGUAUUUUUGUUUUAAUCAAGAUUUCAGAGGCAAAAAACUCCAAUAAUAGAUGGGACAAAAUUUCAACUUAGAACUUGCGCUGACUGUUUUUACACUGUCAUUUUUUUCUCUAUUUUCUAUAGUUUCAUUAAAUUGAGUAGUUUUUAGAAGAAAAUUUACAGAGAAUGGACACAAAAUGAUGGAAAAAGCUGCAAUAAAACAAGUGAAAAAAAUCAUUCCAAUUUAAAAGUAGAAUUGGAACAUCGUUUUUAAUAAAUUUGGCUUUUAACAUCAGAUUCAAUCACAAAAACAUUGUAAAAUACAUAGAAAAUAAAAUCUGCUUGAAAUGAAGAUAAAACUGAGCAUUUUAUUGCAUUAGAAGUGCAAAAAGGUGUUGAGUAUAUCACAGAUUUCCUUCUUAUGGGAAUAUAUGAAUACUAUAAACUAUGAUACAUUAAUGGGAUGUUUAUUCUAAUCAAUCUUUUUGAAUGAACAAUAUCCUUGCUAUUGGUUCUUUAAAUUUUGAAAUGGCAAAUAUGUCAAAUUUGCUUUAAUUUAAAAGUUCUGACUUUCCUAUUGUAACGUUGAGCAAAUUUUAAUGUAUCAAAUCAGUAUUGUAGCAACAUAAUGAAAGGUACAAAACACUGUUAUUUGUCUUUUUUCCCCCUCCAAAAUUUCUAUCUGAUGGAUUUCUUAUUACAUUAGUUUUCUCCCCUUUUUUGGUGAACAGAAAGAUAAAAAAAGCUUUUGAUAUAUUCUCUUAAAUAAAAAUUGAUAAACAGCAUAUAGGUGCGUUUAAGGUGGUACAACAGGGAGAUAACUAUGUAAAGUCAGCUAAACGUUUUGUGUUGUAAAGGGAAUAUUAAGCUUCUCAAUGAUCAAAAUUGGUGUUUGUCAAAUUGCUAUUUAACCAGUGUAAUUUUUCUGGCAAAACGGUUGGUUCAAAAUUUUAAAAAUUUUUAUAUUUUUGUUAAAGUGUCAAAGUAAAUACUUUGACAAAAUUUUAUGAAAAUUAAACGAGCCAAAUUAAUUUUAGUUAAAGUGUUGGGUACCACCUUAAAAAAGCUAAUUCCCCCAGAAAUUUUAUGAAGAUUAAUAAAAGAUUGAGAAAGUCUGCCACCUUUCAUACUGAAGAAAAUACUAUAAAGCAGAUUUAAAAAA